GCCUCAGUGAGCAAAGAUUUUUUACAACUAUUUGCUUAUGAGGUUGUCGGUUCUUGAGGUUAGAACGCAGGCGGGGACACAUAACCCAGCCUACCUCUGUUAUGCAACCACCCAAACAUUGCAAUGUCAGCAUUCUUUGACACUCUCACUACAUAUCACCCUCUGAGCUAAAAAAAAAACAGUCUGAUAAUCUUUCGCCACAGAGCAGGGAAGUGGUAACAAACUGUUGCUUUUUUCUGCCUCAGAAAACUACUGACAUAUCUUCUAAAUGGAAAUAAUUGAAGAGAAUCAUCACGUUAAUACGGACCCAAAAGACUCAAAUAUAUCAGGAGAUAUAUCAGGAGAUAUAUCAGAGUAUAUGGGAAGAUGGCUAUUGCACAAAAGGAUUUGGAUGUGGGGAAAAAUGGAAAUAUGCUGAAAUAAUCAGGGCAGUCCUAGACACCACAGACAGUGUGCAAGCCUCAAUGACUGGACCUCACAUAAAGACUUAUACAUACUAGAACACACGUGUAUGGGCAAGUCAUGCCCUGCACCCUCUGAGAACAAAACCAACAAAACCACUGCAAAAAUGCUGUCCAUGGCCAGCAGGUUUGGUAACACAGUGCUUAGCACAUCAAUCACAUGAAAUUAUAAACAGCAGUUUACACAGUUUGGAAUGUGUAAACCUUUGAAUUUGCUUUAUAAGUAGCCUCUUUUUAUCCAAUCGCUGUAAAUUUGGUACAAUCAGGCUAAUUUCCAAGAGCUUCCCAAUGGGAUUCACAAUGUUAUGUUUGACUAUUGAUUAACUGUUAUUUGGAAAAUCCAUGUUUGACACUUGUGUUGAAAGGACAUCCGUGACAUCUGUUACAUAACCUGAAUCUCCAUGUUAGCUGUUUUCCUUAAAGAGUGCUGCAGUGAUCACAGCACGGCUUCGCUCUGUUUACAAGGCCUGCCAGCCUCUGUUAGCAGUGGGUUAGGGGAUAAUAGCACAGUGAAUGCACAAGUUAAACGGCACUUAACGGCGGUGGUCUAACCAGAGGUACGAAGAAGCUGACAAAUUGUCUUUUGACGUCACCAUGUCAUAAAGUAGUUCCGUUUUUUUAAAUAAAUAUUUAUGUUGGGCUGUGUUAGGUUCAGUUAUUUAAGGACUUUUGUUUAGCAGUGCCUGAAUACAGGUGGAGUGGUAGAUUCUUCAGAGUAGCGCAGAGGGCUAUGUUUUUAGCUGUUAGUGCUGGAUAUGCGGUGUUUCUUCUCACAACCUUGAGACAUCUAUGCUUUUCCAGAGAAUCCCAAACAUUAAAGUGCUCUGCAGUUCACCUUUAUUAAUAGCCAUACAUUACAUCAAAAAAUACCAUGAAAUUCCUAAUCUCUAAAUAAAACACUGAAUACCUUCUCAACGAACGAAU
ensembl:lncRNA